rnacentral:misc_RNA from 1 species
GCUUCUGAACCUUUACGUUUCAUGGUUCUGGUUGUGCCUGCCACUUCAUCAUAAAUGCUACAAUAGGGCUCAUCUGGUUGUAUCAUCUGACCAACAUAAGGGAGCCCAUCUGAAUCUAUGAUAGACCGCACAGAUGUAUCAAUAUUACUCCUCCUAAACAUCUUCUGACUUCGACUUGAUCUAUUGCCCUGAUCAGACAAGUCAAUUGUUU